AUACGGAGGGUGCGAGCGUUAAUCGGAAUUACUGGGCGUAAAGGGUGCGUAGGCGGCUUGAUAAGUCGGAUGUGAAAGCCCCGGGCUUAACCUGGGAAUUGCAUUCGAUACUGUCAGGCUAGAGUAUGUCAGAGGUUGGCGGAAUUCCUGGUGUAGCGGUGAAAUGCGUAGAUAUCAGGAGGAACACCAGUGGCGAAGGCGGCUAACUGGGACAAUACUGACGCUGAGGCACGAAAGCGUGGGUAGCAAACAGGAUUAGAAACCCUAGUAGUCC
rnacentral:rRNA from 1 species